CAAAAUCAUCUUCCUUUUUGCGCUACAAUAUUACCUCUUCUCUUUGGAUUCCAAUCCAAAUAAUCAUCCCAAAACGAUGAAGAUAACAAAAUAACUGAGAAUAAAUUGGAGAAUAUUUUAAUUUUGAAUUACUAUCACAUGCAUCUGGCGUUCAUUGAGUUGCUUGUUGAAUAAUUCGAUAGAAAAAGGGGAAAAUGGAGAAUUUCUCAAACCUAACGAUACUUUGAGCAUUAUCCUCAUUACGAAGAUGGGGUUUCAUAUCUUAUCUGCGAUUAUAGGUCAUAAAAAUUAUUGAAUUGAGAUUUCUAAAUGAACUAGCCAAGAAACGAG
rnacentral:misc_RNA from 1 species